CAGUCGCCGCGGGAAUACGAAGGGGGCUAGCGUUGUUCGGAUUUACUGGGCGUAAAGGGUGCGUAGGCGGAUUGUUAAGUCAGGGGUGAAAUCCCGAGGCUCAACCUCGGAGUUGCCUUUGAUACUGGCGAUCUUGAGUCCGGGAGAGGUGAGUGGAACUGCGAGUGUAGAGGUGAAAUUCGUAGAUAUUCGCAAGAACACCGGUGGCGAAGGCGGCUCACUGGCUCGGAACUGACGCUGAGGCACGAAAGCGUGGGGAGCAAACAGGAUUAGAUACCCCAGUAGUCCCUGUCUCUUAUAC
rnacentral:rRNA from 1 species